CUCUUACAAGCUAAAGAAGUAGUUGAAAAAGACAUUGCACCAACAGGAAAAUGUUUUAAUCAUAUGAUUGGCCUGUAAGAGAAUGAAAAAAAAAUAUAUGUGAUGAGAACAGUGAUCCAGACUUCACCCUUCUCUAAGCAAACCUACAGUUUCUACCUCUCUUAACUUCUCUCUCUCUAUUUCCUUCCCACAUCCUCUCACCUACCAUGAACCACACCCACUUCUCCAAAUGGGGUGGCUGCAAUCGCUCUUCUCUCCAUUGAAGAAGCUCUGGGUUCGUCUGCAUUCAGCCCAGAAAAAGAGUAGAGGAAUAUACAUACUGUAUGAUGAUGUCAAGUCCUGCCCUUCUGAAGAUGUGCAUGUCUUGUGGUCGAUUUUGGUCCAGUCAAACACUCCUGCUUUACCAUCAAAACAAUGAAGCACUGGAAGACCUGC